rnacentral:rRNA from 1 species
AACGAACGCUGGCUGCAUGCCUAACACAUGCAAGUCGAACGAUGCCUUCGUGCUUAGUUGCUCACGGGUGCGUCACGCGUGGGAAUCUUCCUUUCGGUUCGUCAUACCUCAGGGCAACUUGAGCUCAUACCGGAUAACGUCGCAAUACCAAAGAUUUAUCACCGAAAGAUGAGCCCGCGUAUGAUUAGCUAGUUGGUGAGGUAAAGGCUCACCAAGGCGACGAUACUUAGCUGGUCUGAGAGGAUGAUCAGCCACACUGGGACUGAGACACGGACCAGACUCCUACGGGAGGCAGCAGUGGGGAAUAUUGGACAAUGGGGGAAAGCCUGAGACAGCAAUGCCGCGUGAGUGAUGAAGGCCUUAGGGUUGUAAAGCGCUUUUAACCGGGAAGAUAAUGAAGGUACCGGGAGAAUAAGCCCCGGCUAACUCCGUG